rnacentral:rRNA from 1 species
UAGGGAAUAUUGGACAAUGGGCGAAAGCCUGAUCCAGCCAUGCCGCGUGAGUGAUGAAGGCCUUAGGGUUGUAAAGCUCUUUCGCCAGGGACGAUAAUGACGGUACCUGGAUAAGAAGCCCCGGCUAACUUCGUGCCAGCAGCCGCGGUAAUACGAAGGGGGCUAGCGUUGUUCGGAAUUACUGGGCGUAAAGCGUAUGCAGGCGGAUCGCUAAGUCAGGGGUGAAAUCCCGAGGCUCAACCUCGGAACUGCCUUUGAUACUGACGAUCUUGAGUCCGGGAGAGGUGAGUGGAACUGCGAGUGUAGAGGUGAAAUUCGUAGAUAUUUCGCAAGAACACCAGUGGCGAAGGCGGCUCACUGGCCCGGUACUGACGCUGAGAUACGAAAGCGUGGGGAGCAAAACA